UGAACUCAUUGAGAGCAGAGGCAGUGUAUGUUUACAUACCAGUGCUUGGAUACUAAAAUUUUCUCAGCAUCUGAAAUGAAGUAGGACCACCCGCUGAACUUAAGCAUAUCAUUAAGCGGAGGAAAAGAAACUAACAAGGAUUCCCUCAGUACGGGCGACGGAAGCGGGAAAAGCCCACAUUGGUAAUCUCCGGGCGCUAGCUCGGCGAAUUGUAAUCUGAAGACGAUUAGUCCACCUGGACCGGGCGCCGAAGUGCCGCACGAGAGCGCCGCCAUAGAGGGUGAGAGCCCCGUAUGGUGCCAGGUCCUACCCGGGCUGAUUGUCGAAGAGUCGUGUACUUUGAUACUAGUGCACUAAGCGAGAGAUAAACUUCUUCUAAGGCUAAAUAUAAGUAGGAAACCGAUAGCGAACAAGUACUGUGAAGGAAAGAUGAAAAGCACUUUGGAAAGAAAGUUAAAAGACUUGAAAUCGUUGAGGCGGACCCGGUAGAAAUGUAUUCUAGCGAAACUCUCUGGGAAGCCUGUACGCGGGCCACUUGAGGGUUAGCCGAGACAAGAUGGGGUCGUGAGAUGCCAGAGGCUUUGUACCAGGAUGCUUGCGUCAGGGUAUGAUAGUCGGGUGUCUUGCGGCUCGAGGGGCUUUGAGCGAUCUUGUCAAAAUGGUUUUUACCGACUCGUCUUGAAACACGAACCAAGGAGUCUAAGACUAACGCGAGUAUGGUGGUGGAGAAACCAACAUGCGAAAUGAAAGUAAACGAUGCCAAGCUCCCUGCAGCAUCGACCGACUUUUUUCUUCUGGAAGAGGUUUGAGUAAGAGCGUUAUUCUUAGGACCCGAAAGAUGGUGAACUAUGCCUGUGUAGGGUGAAGUCAGGGGAAACUCUGAUGGAAGCUCGUAGCGAUACUGACGUGCAAAUCGUUCGUCGAACAUGGGUAUAGGGGCGAAAGACUAAUCGAACCAUCUAGUAGCUGGUUCCCUCCGAAGUUUCCCUCAGGAUAGCUGGGACAAGUACGCAGUUUUAUUAGGUAAAGCGAAUGAUUAGAGGCAUCGGGGAUAAAAUGUCCUUGACCUAUUCUCAAACUUUAAAUUGGUAAGAACUCCCGUCUUUCUUUAAUGAAGCAGGAGGUUCAAUGCGUGUCCUUAGUGGGCCAUUUUUGGUAAGCAGAACUGGCGAUGAGGGAUGCUCCUAACGUUGAGUUAAGGUGCCAAACUACACGCUCAUCAGAAACUACAAAGGGUGUUAGUUCAUGAAGACAGCAGGACGGUGGCCAUGGAAGUCGGAACCCGCUAAGGAGUGUGUAACAACUCACCUGCCGAAUG
rnacentral:rRNA from 1 species